rnacentral:rRNA from 1 species
CCUACGGGAGGCAGCAGUGAGGAAUAUUGGUCAAUGGGCGCGAGCCUGAACCAGCCAAGUCGCGUGAAGGAUGACGGCCCUAAGGGUUGUAAACUUCUUUUAUAAAGGAAUAAAGUGAGGCACGUUUGCCUUUUUGUAUGUACCUUAUGAAUAAGGAUCGGCUACCUCCGUGCCAGCAGCCGCGGUAAUACGGAGGAUCCGAGCGUUAUCCGGCUUUAUUGGGUUUAAAGGGAGCGUAGAUGGGUUGGUAAGUCAGGUGUGAAAGUUUGCGGCUCAACCGUAAGAUUGCAAUUGAUACUGGCAGUCUUGAGUACAGUUGAGGUAGGCGGAAUGCGUGGUGUAGCGGUGAAAUGCAUAGAUAGCACGAAGAACUCCGAUUGCGAAGGCAGCUUACUAAACUGCCACUGACAUUGAGGCUCGAAAGUGUGGGUAUCAAACAGGAUUAGAUACCCUAGUAGUC